rnacentral:misc_RNA from 1 species
UUGUGGAGGAGGACGCCGAAGGUGGGGCUAAUGACUGGGGUGAAGUCGUAACAAGGUAGCCGUACCGGAAGGUGCGGCUGGAUCACCUCCUAACAGGGAGACAACAAAAUGUUUAAUAUUAUUAUUUUGUCACCUUAGGUCGAUCGGUAUCUCACGUUCUUAAUUUGUUAAGAAUUUCAUUUCCUAAGUUUUUCUAGGUCACACCCAUUAUUUUUCCUGGGCCAUUAGCUCAGGUGGUUAGAGCGCACCCCUGAUAAGGGUGAGGUCCCUGGUUCAAGUCCAGGAUGGCCCAUAUCUCUAUGUUGGGGGUAUAGCUCAGUUGGUAGAGCGCCUGCUUUGCAAGCAGGAUGUCAGCGGUUCGAGUCCGCUUACCUCCACUGAUUACCACCUCUUACAUAACUGGUAAAAAGGAAAUGUUUUGAGUUGUGAUCAUUAUUCUGAACGAAUCUAGCUUCCUAAUGAAAUCAUUAAGAUGCUGGACUCAUUGAAUUAAUUUCAUUGUUUUCAGAGAACCUUGACAACUGCAUAGAUUAUUUUUAAAGACAAUAAGCAUCUUUAAUGAUGCAGAUUUAUUAUUUGUGCGAAUGCAUUAAUAACAAUUCUAUUAAGCUGAUGCUUCAAUUUUUGAAGUUAUUGGUCAAGCUACAA